rnacentral:sRNA from 1 species
CUAUACCCUAGCACCCCAUUUGAAUUGCACCUCUGAUAAUCUUUCUUCUCCUUAAUAUUUUUUCUCUCCAUUCCAUUUGAUUUAUUUUGGUUGAAGUUUUUCUUUUCCAACUUAUAUCAAUUGUUAUAUUUGUGAGUGAGUGUGGUAUUCAAAAUUAAAGAUAUUUUAGAGGGGUUGUUAGUGUUCCACUGCAGCUUGGAGUGGUGCUUCGAGCAAGCUUGGGUUGCUUUGUGGUGGUGCGUUCCUAGUGUGCUUGGGGUGCUUCGUGAUGGUGCUUGGGGUGUUUCUUCUUGGUGUUCUUGCUAAUGUUGGUGGGAGAUUACUGGUUGCAUUGCUUCGAGCAAGGUGGCACAGUUUGAGCUUAAUACGUGGA